rnacentral:rRNA from 1 species
AGUGAACGCUGGCGGUAGGCCUAACACAUGCGAGUCGAACGGCAGCACAGUAAGAGCUUGCUCUUACGGGUGGCGAGUGGCGGACAGGUGAGGAAUACUUCGGAAUCUACUUUUUCGUGGGGGAUAACGUAGGGAAACUUACGCUAAUACCGCAUACGACCUACGGGUGAAAGCAGGGGAUCUUCGGACCUUGCGCGAUUGAAUGAGCCGAUGUCGGAUUAGCUAGUUGGCGGGGUAAAGGCCCACCAAGGCGACGAUCCGUAGCUGGUCUGAGAGGAUGAUCAGCCACACUGGAACUGAGACACGGUCCAGACUCCUACGGGAGGCAGCAGUGGGGAAUAUUGGACAAUGGGCGCAAGCCUGAUCCAGCCAUACCGCGUGGGUGAAGAAGGCCUUCGGGUUGUAAAGCCCUUUUGUUGGGAAAGAAAAGCAGCAGGUUAAUACCCCGCUGUUCUGACGGUACCCAAAGAAUAAGCACCGGCUAACUUCGUG